CUCAAGCUAGCCUACACAUGCAGUCGAGCGGUAACAGGUCCAGCUUGCUGGAUGCUGACGAGCGGCGGACGGGUGAGUAACGCAUAGGAAUCUACCCGGUAGUGGGGGAUAACCUGGGGAAACCCAGGCUAAUACCGCAUACGUCCUACGGGAGAAAGGGGGCUUCGGCUCCCGCUAUUGGAUGAGCCUAUGCCGGAUUAGCUGGUUGGUGAGGUAAUGGCUCACCAAGGCGACGAUCCGUAGCUGGUCUGAGAGGAUGAUCAGCCACAUCGGGACUGAGACACGGCCCGAACUCCUACGGGAGGCAGCAGUGGGGAAUAUUGGACAAUGGGGGCAACCCUGAUCCAGCCAUGCCGCGUGUGUGAAGAAGGCCCUCGGGUUGUAAAGCACUUUCAGCGAGGAAGAACGCCUGUCGGUUAAUACCCGGCAGGAAAGACAUCACUCGCAGAAGAAGCACCGGCUAACUCCGUGCCAGCAGCCGCGGUAAUACGGAGGGUGCAAGCGUUAAUCGGAAUUACUGGGCGUAAAGCGCGCGUAGGUGGCUUGAUAAGCCGGUUGUGAAAGCCCCGGGCUCAACCUGGGAACGGCAUCCGGAACUAU
rnacentral:rRNA from 1 species